rfam:Tropicibacter naphthalenivorans strain CECT 7648 genome assembly, contig: 0001
GGGCCGUUAGCUCAGUUGGUAGAGCAACUGACUUUUAAUCAGUGGGUCGUAGGUUCGAAUCCUACACGGCUCA